GCCCAGAGUCUGAAUCAGCUUGUGUGUUAGUGGAACGGUCUGGAAAGUCCGACGGUACAGGGUGAUAGUCCCGUACACCAAAAUGCACAGGCUGUGAACUCGAAGAGUAGGGCGGGACACGUGGUAUCCUGUCUGAAUAUGGGGGGACCAUCCUCCAAGGCUAAAUACUCCUGACUGACCGAUAGUGAACCAGUACCGUGAGGGAAAGGCGAAAAGAACCCCGGCGAGGGGAGUGAAAAAGAACCUGAAACCGUGUACGUACAAGCAGUGGGAGCACCUUCGGGUGUGACUGCGUACCUUUUGUAUAAUGGGUCAGCGACUUAUAUUCUGUAGCAAGGUUAACCGUAUAGGGGAGCCGCAGGGAAACCGAGUCUUAACUGGGCGUUAAGUUGCAGGGUAUAGACCCGAAACCCGGUGAUCUAGCCAUGGGCAGGUUGAAGGUUGGGUAACACUAACUGGAGGACCGAACCGACUAAUGUUGAAAAAUUAGCGGAUGACUUGUGGCUGGGGGUGAAAGGCCAAUCAAACCGGGAGAUAGCUGGUUCUCCCCGAAAGCUAUUUAGGUAGCGCCUCGUGAACUCAUCUUCGGGGGUAGAGCACUGUUUCGGCUAGGGGGUCAUCCCGACUUACCAACCCGAUGCAAACUACGAAUACCGAAGAAUGUUAUCACGGGAGACACACGGCGGGUGCUAACGUCCGUCGUGAAGAGGGAAACAACCCAGACCGCCAGCUAAGGUCCCAAAGUCAUGGUUAAGUGGGAAACGAUGUGGGAAGGCACAGACAGCCAGGAUGUUGGCUUAGAAGCAGCCAUCAUUUAAAGAAAGCGUAAUAGCUCACUGGUCGAGUCGGCCUGCGCGGAAGAUGUAACGGGGCUAAACCAUGCACCGAAGCUGCGGCAGCGACACUAUGUGUUGUUGGGUAGGGGAGCG
rnacentral:rRNA from 1 species